GCGACCCCAGGAUGGGCGAGGCCACCCGCCGAGUUUAAGCAUAUCA
rnacentral:rRNA from 5 species